rfam:Citrobacter koseri ATCC BAA-895, complete genome.
ACCCGCUGAGGGAAAACCAGGCCGGGAAAAGGUUAAGGAAGCACUGCUGUGUAGAUUUUAGGGGCUGGCGGAUGUCGACAGUCCCUGUUUUUUAU